GCUGGGCAUGGUGGCGUGUGCCUGUAAUCCCAGCUACUCAGGAGGCUGAGGCAGUAGAAUCGCUUGAACCCAGGAGGCGGAGGUUGCAGUGAGCCAAGAUUGUGCCACUGUACUCCAGCCUGGGUGACAGAGCGAGACUCUGUCUCUC
ensembl:misc_RNA Metazoa_SRP Metazoan signal recognition particle RNA